rnacentral:pre_miRNA from 1 species
AGAAGAAUUGGCCUACUCAGGUGUCAGCAAAGCCUUCCUCUCUGAAUAGGUCAAUUCCCCUCA